rnacentral:rRNA from 1 species
GAUGAACGCUGGCGGCGUGCCUAAUACAUGCAAGUCGAGCGAACUGAUUAGAAGCUUGCUUCUAUGACGUUAGCGGCGGACGGGUGAGUAACACGUGGGCAACCUGCCUGUAAGACUGGGAUAACUUCGGGAAACCGAAGCUAAUACCGGAUAGGAUCUUCUCCUUCAUGGGAGAUGAUUGAAAGAUGGUUUCGGCUAUCACUUACAGAUGGGCCCGCGGUGCGUUAGCUAGUUGGUGAGGUAACGGCUCACCAAGGCAACGAUGCAUAGCCGACCUGAGAGGGGGAUCGGCCACACUGGGACUGAGACACGGCCCAGACUCCUACGGGAGGCAGCAGUAGGGAAUCUUCCGCAAUGGACGAAAGUCUGACGGAGCAACGCCGCGUGAGUGAUGAAGGCUUUCGGGUCGUAAAACUCUGUUGUUAGGGAAGAAUAAGUACAAGAGUAACUGCUUGUACCUUGACGGUACCUAACCAGAAAGCCACGGCUAACUACGUGCCAGCAGCCGCGGUAACAC